rnacentral:rRNA from 1 species
AUUGAACGCUGGCGGCAGGCCUAAUACAUGCAAGUCGAACGAGUGGCGGACGGGUGAGUAAUGUCUGGGAAAAUGCCUGAUGGAGGGGGAUAACUACUGGAAACGGUAGCUAAUACCGCAUACCAUCGGAUGUGCCCAGAUGGGAUUAGCUAGUAGGUGGGGUAAAGGCUCACCUAGGCGACGAGCCCUAGCUGGUCUGAGAGGAUGACCGUCCACACUGGAACUGAGACACGGGCCAGACUCCUACGGGAGGCAGCAGUGGGGAAUAUUGCACAAUGGGCGCAAGCCUGAUGCAGCCAUGCCGCGUGUAUGAAGAAGGCCUUCGGGUUGUAAAGUACUUUCAGCGGGGAGGCGUUACCCGCAGAGAAAGCACCGGCUAACUCCGUGCCAGCCGCCGCGGUAAUAC